rnacentral:rRNA from 1 species
CCUACGGGAGGCAGCAGUGAGGAAUAUUGGUCAAUGGGCGCGAGCCUGCACCAGCCAAGUAGCGUGAAGGAUGACUGCCCUCCGGGUUGUAAACUUCUUUUGUAAAGGAAUAAAGUGAGGCACGUGUGCCUUUAUGUAUGUACUUUAUGAAUAAGGCUCGGCUAACUACGUGCCAGCAGCCGCGGUAAUACGGAGGAUCAGAGCGUUAUCCGGAUUUAAUGGGUUGAAAGGGAGCGUAGAUGGGUAGUUAAGUCAGUUGUGAAAGUUUGCGGCUCAACCGUAAAAUUGCAAUGGAUACUGGCAGUCUGGAGUACAGUAGAGGUAGGCGGAAUUCGUGGUGUAGCGGUGAAAUGCUGAGAUAUCACGAAGAACACCGAUUGCGAAGGCAGCUUACUAAACUGCCACUGACAUUGAUGCUCGAAAGUGUGGGUAUCAAACAGGAUUAGAUACCCCAGUAGUC